CCUACGGGAGGCAGCAGUGAGGAAUAUUGGUCAAUGGACGAGAGUCUGAACCAGCCAAGUAGCGUGAAGGAUGACUGCCCUAUGGGUUGUAAACUUCUUUUAUAUGGGAAUAAAAUGUUCCACGUGUGGGCUUUUGUAUGUACCUUAUGAAUAAGGAUCGGCUAACUCCGUGCCAGCAGCCGCGGUAAUACGGAGGAUCCGAGCGUUAUCCGGAUUUAUUGGGUUUAAAGGGAGCGUAGGUGGAUUGUUAAGUCAGUUGUGAAAGUUUGCGGCUCAACCGUAAAAUUGCAGUUGAAACUGGCAGUCUUGAGUACAGUAGAGGUGGGCGGAAUGCGUGGUGUAGCGGUGAAAUGCUUAGAUAUCACGAAGAACUCCGAUUGCGAAGGCAGCUUACUAAACUGCCACUGACAUUGAUGCUCGAAAGUGUGGGUAUCAAACAGGAUUAGAUACCCGUGUAGUC
rnacentral:rRNA from 1 species